rnacentral:rRNA from 1 species
GAUGAACGCUGGCGGCGUGCUUAACACAUGCAAGUCGAACGGAAAGGCCCAAGCUUGCUUGGGUACUCGAGUGGCGAACGGGUGAGUAACACGUGGGUGAUCUGCCCUGCACUUCGGGAUAAGCCUGGGAAACUGGGUCUAAUACCGGAUAGGACGAUGGUUUGGAUGCCAUUGUGAAAAGUUUUUUCGGUGUGGGAUGAGCUCGCGGCCUAUCAGCUUGUUGGUGGGGUAAUGGCCUACCAAGGCGUCGACGGGUAGCCGGCCUGAGAGGGUGUACGGCCACAUUGGGACUGAGAUACGGCCCAGACUCCUACGGGAGGCAGCAGUGGGGAAUAUUGCACAAUGGGCGCAAGCCUGAUGCAGCGACGCCGCGUGGGGGAUGACGGCCUUCGGGUUGUAAACUCCUUUCGCUAGGGACGAAGCGUUUUUGUGACGGUACCUGGAGAAGAAGCACCGGCUAACUACGUG